AACAUAGCCCAAACCGGGGUGUAGCAAGUCACGAGUAUCUAGAGGAGUCUAAAUACAACUACAAGGCCAGUUAUACACAUAAUAGAAUUUAGAAAUCAAGGAAGAAAUCCGGUGCCGUGGACCCUAGAGGUCAGCUUGCUCAGCUACAAUAGCAAAAUCUUUAACCAGCUCAAAACUCGCUACCGGGUGAACAGAUACCUGCAUCUGCACACGAGUUGCAGCGAGUAAAGUGAGUACUCCAAAUCAGUGAGUAAUAAAAGUAAAUAAUAACUAAGUAGAAAGAAAUCACGUAAAGCAACCAACAUACUGUAUAGGAGCCGGGUACAAUUUUUUGAAAGCAGUAAAAUCUGUAAAAUCAUUAGAAAUACCUUGGCUCAGUUCAAAUCUCUUUUAAAAAUGAUCUUUUCAAUAAUUACGAAAACGAUUUCAAAACAGUUAGUGCAGAUAAACACAGAAAAUCCGCCCCUCGAGCACAAAUAUCACAGUAUAACAGGUAAAAAGGCAAAUAAAUAUGCAAGAUGAGCACAUAAAAGUUCUCCCCUCGGGUAAUAUCUCAAACUGUACCAUCCCCUCGGGCUCCCACUCUCGGAUUUCUCUCAGAACAGUAUCACAUAGUAAUCGCUGCGGCGUGCAGCCCGAUCCACAUGUCGUUGCGGCGUGCAUCCCCAUCCAUAUGGGUACCCGCACUCACUGUAGGGGUACAGACUCAAAUACUGCUUCGGCGAGCAGCCCGAUCCAUAUAAGUAUCGCUGCGACGUGCAGCCCAAUCCAUAUAUAAUGCUCACAUCCAGGCCCUCGACCACACUCAAUCAGAAUAUCAUCACAAGCCCCUCGGGCAUUAGUAAAACAGUAGCUCUCAGCCCAAAUUAUCAUUUAAGACUCAAAUCUGAGUAAAAGUGACUGAGCUGUAAAAUAAUGGAGAAACAGGAUGACAUAGUUCAGGUAAUAAGACAAAACAUUGAGGAAAUAGUGAAAAUAAUCCCCGAAUGAUUCAAAUAGUUGGCACAAAGCCCGAAUAUGGCAGUCAACAAAAAAACCAAUGAUAACAAAUAAAUCCCAGUCAAACACGCGGUAAAUUCAUCAAUCAGAGGGCCAAGUCACAAUCCCCAGCGGUGCUCUGCCCAACGCCCACUAUCUGGCGUGUAAGCACCUCAAUAUAGCACUGCGAUGUGCAAUCCGGGGUUUAAAACCCUCAGAAUAUCAUUUACAAUCAUUACUCACCUCGAACCGGCAAAAUCUCUAGCUCACGAUGCCUUUGACCGUCGGAUCAAAAUCUCACCUAUCAACCAGAAAUCGCCAAAAUACUAACUUCGCCAAUUCACGCCUAUUUCUACACCGGUCCUCCAAAACCACUUCCGAUCACACUCCUAACUCACAAAUCAUCCCUCGAAGCUAACCGAAUCACUGGAAAUCAUAUCCGAGCUCUCUAACUCAUAAGUCAACAUCCGGUUGACUUUUCCAAAACAAGCCUUCCUUAUAGAGACUAAGUGUCUCAUUUCCUUCCAAAACCAAUCCAAAUUAACUCUAACACACCAAAUACUAAUAUCGAGACAUGAAGAAGCAUAAAAUGGGAGAAACGGGAGAGGAACUCAUGAGAUGAUAGGCCAGGUCGUCACAUCCUCCCCAACUUAAACAAACGCUCGUCCUUGAGCGUACCCAGAGUUGUCCUAGAAGCCAACCAAUAGAUGAUAGACCUUACCAAGCAUAUACCCGGGGGUGAUUCCACGUCACCAUAUCUCGCAUUGGUCAGAUAACACAACAUAGCUGACAUUUCACAAUCCAUCUAGUCUGUAAACCAUAGAACUACAUUGCACUUUCCGAAAUCAUACACAAGAUCAAAACCUCACAUCGAUACUCAGAAUAAGCCCAAACCAACUGUAAUAACCCAUACCUGCAACCUCGGUGCCAUUACAUGAUAAACCACAUAGCUCUAAGGCUCGAAACAAUAACCUCUAUUCGCAGCAGCUGCACACAACACCUAAAUACCGAUAGAGAAACUCUUAUCAACUGAAAUCUCAUUCCAACACUUUCAUAUACUUCCAUCGAUAAUGAAACACGCAAUAAACCGAAACCAUUCUCGGAUUAACCAUUCAUGAGGCCGCUUUCCCUCUGGGAAUUACCAUAGCAAAUUUGAACCGAACCUCGAUAUUAACCCCUUACACAUGCUAAAUGACUCAAAUGGAAGAGUUGUACCUCAAGCUCAUCGGCACCAUCACAACACAAGGCUGAGACCCCAUAUCAUAUCAUAGAAAUUGAACACCUGAAUCCACCCCGAAUGGUCAUAUCUCCACGUGGCCUCGCUACAAUGCGCGAUCCUAUCUAAACAGUGUUAAUCAUGAAACACCUCAAGUCACUAUGCUCAAAAUAGACAACCACGCACAAUUUGAUAUCUGGAACCAAAGCAAUUCAUCAUGCCCACAGUGAAGCAAAUAACAUAAACCACACAACCCUGAAAGGACAUAACUGAUGUCUCAUUCUUCGAGCAACACCCAAUUACUCUUCCGCUCGACUUCCACUAAGAACCCCAAUAGAAUCGCAGCAUUCGUGCCCAUAACCAACAAAUCAUAACGUCUCACAACACAGAAAACAAUUCAUAGAUCUCUCUUGAUCUUUCAUAAGCUCAACAAGACUCAAGUCAACCAAUCCCUCGACAAUACAAUUCUGCCAACCAAGUUGACUCAAGCUAGAACACAUAUCCACAUUGGUCUGCCAACGAACUUCUUACCAAGGAAACCUGAAGUUGUUCCUUUCCACUUCUCUAACUUCUGUCGGUGCCAUAUGAUACAGUGGCCAGCACCAAAUCAAUACCGAAAUCAACAACCUCACCUGGCGUCAUGCCCGGCCACAGAAAUGCAUCCAAAGAGUCCCUCAACACCGGAUCUGAAUCCAUGAUAGCAACCUCUGCAAUGCCAAUCAUCAUGAAGGCACAAAUUAAGAAAAACACGCCCGUUGGGUCUUUGUAAUAUAAGUCACUCUGCUAGAACAUAAUCCACGCAGCUCACCACACAACCCGUGGCAUUUUCGGCAUAACCCAUAGCAAUAGUUCAGAAUCACCCAACACUAAGACAACCAGUCUGAAUUCAAACAUCACAUCUAAAAUCUAACAUACCAGCAGGUAAAGAUCCACUCGACCCUCCAAAUCUCGAUAGCCGCUAAACGGUGCCGAUACACACAAUCCACAACCACAACAUGGCCUGCAUAUGAGAAUUUCCAUCUCCAAAUCCACAUAGCACACGAAUCAUAGUACCAAAUCCCAAUUUCGUCAUUCAAAAUCAUACCACACCUUAAUACCCAGUAAUUCCACGAUAGAUACUCUAUAAUUUCCCUGUGCCACUAAGCCAACCCGAAUAUCACUAGUCGAUAUAACAAUAAAGUGCCGCAAUACCACCGAAGUUCCAUCCAUUUAAUCACAUUAACCUUUUUUGGAAACACAUACUCUCGUCAAAUCACUUUCGAAUAGCAAUACCGUUUUCCAUGAUUUUCUGAGGCUACCCACUGCCUAAGUGUUUUAUGAGCUUCCUUUCUGAACUGAACUGUAACCUAACACACGCAAUUCUCAGCCUUCCACGAUAUACCGCAUAUAACAUACCAUCCGAGAAUACAUGAAAACCUUACCUCCCUUCCGAGCCACAGACAUAUAUUAACUCAACUAGUCAAGAGCUUUUCAUUGGUCCCGUGUAGGAAAAAGACCACUAUACAUCCAUUCUUCGCAUGCCCAUAGAAAAUAUACAUCACCAAACCACGGUAAAACCCAACAAGAACUCUUCCAGUUCCGUUGCACCAACUAAACUGCCAGGACUGAAUCCUUCUAACUAGACCAAGCUAAGCAAGUCGUCGAAACUCAAGAGCAUUGCUGCAAAAUACUUGUACGAACUCAUUACCUCUAAAACAUACAAAAAAUUAAUCAUAUCCUUACCAUGUCGAUCCGAUCUACUAUCAAGCUACUCCAUCUUUCUAAAUUUCCUUCUGGUUCAUUUUCAAUUGAUAUUUCCUCUUGUUGUAGCACCAAAAUUCCUCGACCAAGGCAUACCAUACGAGACCCAAGCAUAAAACCACACCGUUUGAAACCCAUAAACCGUUGAAUACUCUCCCUCGAAUAUUCCCAAAACACCACAUUCCGCAUCACUUUAUUUUGAAGAACUUCCUGUGAAUCUCAAUCCAUUGCCUUUACUUUCCUGAUACUGAUGCAUAAAAUCCCAUAAUUAACAUAGAAAUUCCACCAAUCUAAAUCUCUUCCAAUGAAAACACAAUUUCUAAUCACACAUGCAACUUUAAGAUACAUGAUUGCUCCCUGUAGAUUCUUGAACACAUUAGAACCUUUUUCAAAAGUCGUUCUCUCUUCGUAGCACCACAAUUCCUCGACGCAGGCUUACCAUACGAGACCUAAGCAUAAAACCACACUGUCUGAAACCCAUAAGCUGUUGAAUGCUCCCCCUCGAAUAUUCCCAAAAACACCACAUUCCGCAGCACAUUAUUCUAAAGAACUUCAUGUGAAUCUAAAUCCGUUGCCUUUACUUUCCUGAUACUGAUACAUAGAAUCCCAUAAUUAACAUAUAAAUACAAUUCUGAACCUCUUCCAAUGAAAACACAGUUUCUAACCACACAUGCAACUUUAAGAUACCCAAUUGUUCCCUGUAGACUCUUAAACACAUUAGAACCAUUUUCGAAAGUCAUUCUCUCUUAUUCAAACUGCAAAUCACCUGACCUGACGGACAAAACCACUAGUGCCUCAUUGGAACUCCGAUACCACAAAAUGGUAUCUUCAACCCAAUACAACCAAGAAACUUCCUACUCUAUACGCCGAGCAUCCUUUGACAAUAACACUCUAGACAUUCCGUGAUUCCUGUACUCUAUAAAGCAUAAUAUGAUCUCUAUCACAAUUGUUCUUCACUCAUUCCAUCCGCAACCAGAACUUCGCCAGCAUGCCUCAAACCGGAACCAACAUAGCACAUAACCGUGCAAUCAGCUAAUCAACAGCAAACUCCCGAACUUGGCUCGAAGCCAUAUAUUAAGACACACUCAACAACUCAAAGCACUUUUACUCUAAUGAUGCCACAGUAUCAUUGUGAGAUUAAACUCAAAUCUUUUACAAGUUUGUGAAAACACAUAUCAUCUAGUACUGUAAUCCUCUGCAAAUCUCGCAUUCAUCCCCACAUAAGCUUAGUCCACUCUCUUAAGCGACUUGAAUUUUCAAAUCUCAACACGUACCCUUCCAUUUUACACAUGAGAUCUUCUAACAUAUACAUAAGGAUCUCACCACUUAUGAACACUCCGCAGGAGAUAACCCACUUGCUUCUCCUUAAUUUAGUAUUUUUUGCAUACCUUCCACCGUCACACAUAUUACACAGUCAUUUAGUCUUUUUGGGCAUGAAUUCAUACCGCCACAUGUAAUGCACUCCCCUACCCAACUAGAAGACACAAAAAGAUUCUUCACGCGCCCAUAACUCGGGCUACACAUCAAAUCACAAUAGGAAUCGAACCCUUAACAGUUCAACUAUUAUCUAGCUGACUUCUCUGUCACUACCAAGUCCUAUAGAUACAUCUCACAGUACUAGAAUACUCAUCACGUAGAUAUUCAAAAAACAUUCCGGCUAAUAGGGACAAUACCGAACAUAUAAGUUCAACACACUUGCUCACACAAUCAGUACCUCGGUGCUCAAGCCAUAGGCAAGGAUCCGGCCCCAAGUCCUCCUGACCGGCCCAACAUAAUUUCACGGGGAUUACAUCUCGCCCCUUGAUCAAGGAAUCAUAAGCCAUCAAGGCGCAUCUGAUACUGAGCGCGCAUGCGCACUUACAAAUGCGUGGAAUGAAUUUUAAGAGUUUCUUUUCAAGCUGAAUCAAGGACGCACAAUAAGAAUUCAAGAAUGCGAAGUUUUUCUUAAAGGAUAUGCAUUCUCUCAAGAAUAAAUACAGACGUCUCCGUACCGAUCCACGAGACUCUAGUAAACCUGCUCAUGACUCGUGACACCUAUGUAACCUAGGCUAUGAUACCAACUUGUCACGACCUCAAACCCCAUUCCGGACGUGAUAGCGCCUCUCGUGAAGACAAGGCCAGCCAAACAACCCUAUUUGCAUUUUUCGAAAAUAUAGAUAACAUGUAUAAAUAAUUUUAAAGAUUAUUCAAUAAUAUUACUUGACGGAGGUAUAAGAAAACACAACCCAAAUCGGGGUGUCAUAAGUCACGAGCAUUUAGAGAAGUCUAAAUACAACUACAAGGCCAGUAAUACACAGAAUAAAAUUUAGAAAUCAAGGAAGAAAUUUUGUGCCUCGAAUGAUGGCGGUCACCUUUCUCAUCUACGACAGCAAAACCUUCAACCAGCUCAAAAACCGCUACUGGGAGAACAGAUAGUUGCAUCUGCACGCGAGGUUCAGGGAGUAAAGUGAAUACUCCAACUCAGUGAUUAAUAGAAGUAAAUAAUAACUGAGCAGCAAGAAAUCACGUUAAGCCAACAUGCGUAUAGAAAUCGGGUAAAAUAUUAUGAGAAAACAGUGAAAUCUAUGAAAUCUUUAGAAAUAACUUGGCUCAGUUCAAAUCUCUUUUGAAAAUGUUCUUUUCAAUAAUUACGAAAAUGAUUUCAAAAUAGUUAGUGCUGAUAAGCACAGAAAAUCCACCCUCAUGCAAAAAUACCACAGUAUAACAGGUAAAAAUGCAAAUAAAUAUGCAAGAUGAGCACAUAAAGGUUCGCCCCUCGGGCAACAUCUCAAACUAUACAAGCCCCUCGGUCUCCCUCUCUCAUUUUUUUCUUAGAACAGUAUCACAUAGUAACCGCUGCGGCGUGUAGCCCGAUCCACGUGUCGAUGCGGUGUGCAGCUCGAUCCAUAUCUUGCUGCGGCAUGCAUACCAAUCAAUAUGGGUACCCGCGCUCAUUGUGGGGGUGAAGCCUCCGGAGGGGCUCCUACAGCCCAAACGCUAUUUCACUGCAGCGUGCAGUCCAAUCCAAUAUAUAUAUAUAUAUAUAUACUGUUGUGCGUGUAGCCCGAUCCAUAUAAGUAUCGAUGUGACGUGCAGUCCAAUCCAUAUAUAACUCUCACAUCCAUACCCUCGGCCUCAUAUUACUCAAUGUAUCCUCACAUUUGGCCCUCGUUCACACUCAGUCAGAGUAUCAUCACAAUCCCCUCUAGAAUUAUUAAAAUAGUAGCUUUCAGCCCAAGUUAUCAUUUAAAAAUAUCAUUUAAGACUCAAAUCUAAGUAAAAGUGGCUGAGUUGUAAAAUAGUAGAGAAACAGAAUGACUGAGUGCUAGUAAUAAGUCAAAACGGUGAGGAAACAGUGAAAAUAAUCCCCUGAAGAAUAUAAAUAGUUGGCACGAAGCCCGAAUAUGGAAGUCAGCCCAAGCAACAGUGUCAAAUACACGGUAAAUUCAUUAAUCGGGAUUGACCAAGUCACAAUCCCCAGUAGUGCUCUUCCCCACGCCCACUAUCUGGCGUGCAAGUCACAACAUUAUAUCGCUACGAUGUGCAAUCUGGGGUUUCAAACCCUUAAGAUAUAAUUUAGAAUCAUUACUCACCUAGAACCGGUAAAAUCUCUAGCUCGCGAUGCCUUUACCCCUCAAAUCGGCCUCCAUGCGCGUCGAAUCUAACCAAAACCACAUGAAUACGUCACAAUAUCCUAAGGGAACAAACCCGAUCAAAAACAAUCAAUAACGGGCAAAAAUCCCGAAAUUACCAAAACCGGAGUCUUGGCCCAUUUCUCGAAACUCAAAAUUUUUACAUAAUUAGAUUCCUCGUCUCCCACGAGUUUAUGCAUAUCAAGAAUACGAAAAUCAGAGUUCAAAUGACCCCUCAAACCCUUAAUUUAAAAUCUCAAAACUCAAUACCUAGUUUUUCAACUUUAGGUAUAACUUCCAUAAAUUUCAAGGUUAAUUUCACAUAAUAAUCGUGUUUUAAGACCAUAGAACUCACCUCCAAUCAAUCCUAGUCCAAUCCCUCUUUAAUCCUCAUCAAAAAGCUCUCAAGAUUGUUCAAAAAUGGAGUAAAUAAACUUAGGUUCGCGGAUGAAUGCUAUUAAAAAACCCUUCUGUCCAGCCUAGAUUCCUUCUAUGUGAACGCAUCAGAACCAUUGCGGUCGCACAUCACAAAUUUUAAGCUCUUAAAAUCCCCUCUAAGCGAUCACAUCAAAACACCUGCUAUCGCACUGCCUUAGUUCCUGAACCUAUGCGAAAGCAUUUUCCCAGUUGAGAAUGCAAUGCACAACACAGCUGGGUCCCCAAAUCCUCUUAUGCGAUCGUAGCAUCACCCCUGCGAUCGCGUUGAACAAAAUCUCUGCAACUUGAAAAUUGAAAAUCUUCAACUCCUUAGGGCUAGAAUUAAUCUGUUUGAUCAUCCGAAAUGACCUCGAGGCCCUCGGAACCUCAACCAAAAGAACCAACAUAUCCCAAAACAUCAUACAAACUUGUUCCAAUCAUCUAAACACAUCAAACAACACUAAAAUCAUCAAUUCUCAUCGGAUUCAAGCCUAAGUUCUUCUAAAACCUCCGAAAUAUGCAUUUGAUCAAAAACCCAACCAAAUCGCCUCUGAAUCACCUAAACUUUUGCACACAUAUUCCAAAUCACCAAACGAAGCUACUAAAACUCUCGGAAUUCCAUUUUGACCCUCGGAUCAAAAUCUCACCUAUCAACCGGAAAUCGCUAAAACACUAACUUCGCCAAUUCAAGCAUAUUUCUACACCGGUCCUCCAAAACCACUUCCGAUCACGCUCCUAAGUCACAAAUAAUCCCUCGAAGCUAAGAGAAUCACAGGAAAUCACAUCCGAGCUCUCUAACUCAUAAGUCAAUAUCUGGUUGACUUUUCCAAAACAAUCCUUCCUUAAAGAGCUAAGUGUCUCAUUUCUAUCCAAAACCAAUCCGAAUUAGCUCUAACACACCAAAUAGCAAUAACGAGACAUGAAGAAGCAUAAAAAUGGGAGAAAUGGGACAGUAACUCAUGAGAUAACGGGCCGGGUCAUCACAACUGAGGUUUGCUAGUUGCUGGUAUUAGCGGAAAUAGGACCGCAGCAGCCCACAGAAGCAAGGAGGGAGCCGUAGAAGCGGUUUUUGAUGAAGGCUUGUCGACUGCAGAUGCGGUCAAGGUUCCGCAGAAGCAGAACCACAUCUACGGAAAGGGUAUGACAGAAGAGAAAGGAGGGGCUGGAGCCCAGGAUCGCAGAAGCGGCAUUUUGACCACAUAACCGGAAAUAGUUCUGAAGAAGCGGAAAGUGCUGGGGCAGAAUGUUGUUUUAAAACCCGAUUUUGGCCAUUUCUCAUCAUAUUUUCUUGGCUUGGUGCAAUUCUUGGAGGAGUUUUAGAGAGUAUUUUCAUCAUCAAUGCCAAGGUAAGAUAUUCCCAUCUAUUUUGAGUAAAAUAUAUUAAUAAUGUAUGGAUUUGAGCAUGAAAAUUGUAGAAAAACUUGGGGUUUGAGAGAAGACCUAGAAAAUUAAUGUUCUUGAAUUUUGACAACAAUUUUGAGUACGGAAUUAAGAAAAAAUAUAUAUUUGAGUUUGUGAGUUCAUGAGUAAACUUUAUCUUCGAGAAAUUUCGGAUUCCGGGAAUGAGGGCUCAAGGGCAUUUUUGUCAACUUUUUGCUUGGGUUAGAAAUUAUUACAAAUUGGGUUGUAAAUUUAAUUGAGCAUAUAUUAAUUAAUUUGUAUAUUCAAUGGCAAUUUUUGGAGCAUUGUGCAUUGGUGAAAGUCUUCAGAAGAAAUGUAGAAUGUUGCUUAUGGGUCUUUGGAGCAAGGUGAGUCUUCUUUCUAACAUUGUGAGAGGGAAUUGUCCCCAUAGAUGAGUUAAAUCUAUUAUGUGCUCCUAUUUGUGGGGGCUACGUACGCACGAGGUGACGAGAGUCUGUGCAUAGCUACUAUUAUGCUAUUGUCCGGGUAGACUAGGAUCCAAAAGAAUGUUAUACUUGAAUUAUUUAUGAAUCAAUUGAUAGCUUAAAUUGGUUAACUCAUAUUGAAUUAGUAAGUGAAUUUCUAAAAGGAUUAAACUUUAUUUCUCAAACUUUUUAAAGGAGAAUUGAUUUUAUUUGGAUAAAUAUUCCCCGAUAAGUUCUUACUUGACUGAUUGAGCAUAUAUUCUUAUGUGUGCCUGCGUCGCAUGCAUGAUUCGCGAGCAGGGUAUGUGUUUAUUUAUGGAAAAGGGCCGAACGCCUCGGCAGAUUAAAUAGGUGCAUCUAUGGUUUGGGUCGUUCGACCCUCGAAAGUGCACAAUUUAUAUUUCUGUUGGAGCGGGUCGUCGACCUCGGCAUGACAUGCGCAUGUUUAUAUUGCUUACUUGACAUACUUGAUGUUGAUAUUGCCUUUUGGCCUGACAUAAAUUGCUCAAGAUAAAUGAAAAGAAAUCUUGAAAAUCCUUCGUAAAUUGUUAAAAGGUAUUUACCUGUUUUACAGCUUUGUGAAUUAGAGCAUGCUAUAUAAAUUCAUGAUUUCCACACAUUUUAGUAUAUCAUUACUGGACCAUUAGUAAGAGUAAAAAUUUACCAUCUCGUCUCUACUUCUUCGAGAUUAGGCAUGAUACUCAUUGGGUAUACGUUAUUUUCAUACUAUACUUGCUGUGCAUUUUUAUUGCACGGGUUUAUUUUGUGGCUCAUGGCUUUGUAGCAUAACGGUAUGACAGGCGCAGAGACUAGGUGAGUUAUAAUCCCUCGAGGAGAUUCCGCAACUAGUAUAGACUCUUUCAGAAUUUUAUUUACUUUCUGUCCAAUUGUAUUCCGGACAGUUAUUGUACCUAUUUGGUUUCUCUUAGAAAAUUACUCAUGUACUUGCGACACCGGAUUUUGGGGAUGUGUUUGGAUUUAUACAGAAAUUUAAAAGUUGAUUUAAUGUGUCCUUAUUUAUUUGGAGGAAUAUACUGAGUAUUGCUUAAAUCACAAUAAAGAAGUAUUUUCGAAAUUACUAAAAUAAGAACUUAAAUAAGAAUUUUAAAUGGUUGGCCUGACAGCGGUGUUCGACGCCACCGCGACCCUUAGUGAAUUUUGGGUAAUGACAGUUGCCUACAUAUCACGCCCCAAAAGACGAGAAUCAGGUAUGCGUAGUUCGGGCGGAUUGGAUACGGGCGAGAAUUAAAAAAAACUAUUUUGAGAAAAUAUAUUUUUUGUCUUUUUUUUAGAAAAAUGAUGAAACAUAUAAACUCUUUUUGGAUUUUCUUUUACUUUUUUUUUAUCUUCGAUUUUAGGAAAAUGAUGAAAAAGUACAAAAUGUUUUUGAAUUUUUCAUUCUUUUUUUGUCUUUUUCUUAAAAAAUAUAACAAAAUACAUAACUGGGCUCCACUUGCUUUAUUUUCACACUUCCCCCUCUUUUUUUCUUAUUUUAUUUGUCCUCAACUACCAUUGGUCCGCCAAAUGACCCUUUUACCCUUGAAAAUUACAACAUGUAGCACAUAGGAGGCCUGAUCAGGAUGAUCUUUUAUUUUUCGGGUACGCCUGUCAUAGACGGACCCAACCCCUGUGUUGAGUCCCCAAAGUCAAAUGCAUAUGACGUAAACAAGCAUUCCUACUAGGGAUCCGUCAUGAAGCUGUGUUAUUCUAAGUUCAAAACUUAGGUAUAUUGUUCUAGACUUGUGUACCCGAGUGGAAAACUCGAGCCAAGGAGGGGGCUACGUACCGGGAACCAAAAGGCCAUCCGACUUUGUAAAUUGUCCGAGACUCUUUCUUAUUCCAAGGUAUGACACUAACAGAAUAAGGAGUCACACAAGCGUGCACAUCCCCGGAGAUGAGAAGACAAGGGUUUCGUAACAGUUUAUAUACGAUUCAGAUAAUAUCAAAGAGGUAAAAAGCAACACUUAGCACAUUAGGCCCAAACAUGUGAAUAAAAUAAGAUAAUAAAUAAAGUCAAAUAAAACAAUUACUAUAAGCUCGAAUUAUGAACCUUGAACCGGAAGUUCUGGGUUCUUAUCCCCAGCAGAGUCACCAGAGCUGUCACACCUCCUUUUCCGACACCCUCGGAAGAAGGUAUAAGAGAGUUUUUUUCCAAUUUAAUGUGACAAUCGAAAUGGAAUUACUUAUUUAUUAAAUUCAGAUUCGCCACUUGGGAUAAUUUUAUGGUGUCUCAAGUCACUGGAUAAAAUCCCGAAUUGAGAAAAAGGAUGAUUCUGUUUUACAGUCCGCGAAUUUUAACACAAAAAUCCGGGUAAGGAAUUAUGUUAACCCUGGAGAAGGUGUUAGACAUUUUUGGAUUCUGUGGUUCUAGCACGGUCGCUCAACUAUUAUAAUUGGCCUAUUAUCUGAUUCUCUUACAUGUUUUAGCCUAUGAUUCAAUUUUAACUUUACGGGUUUUAUUUAAUUAUUCUAAAGGAAGAAUUUAACGUUAUUUAAAAUAUAUCAUGAAUCAUUCACAUUAAUGCACCCCCGGUCCCCGAUUUAGUUUAUAUAACAGUAUUGAGAUUGGAAUUUAGGUCACAUAAAUGCACACACUAGUUUAGGAAGGUAAUUUUUAAAAUACGUGCCUAAAGCAACUAUGCAUUUCAACUUUGCGAGGGCCAUGGAAAAUUCGCUAAAUUGCAUGCCUCGAAUUCUAAGGAUUAAGAAAAAUAUUAAUUAAGUGAAGGCCAUGUAUUUUGAGAUUUUAUUGGGCACGACACACCACAUUUCUAAUUUUAAAAGGAAAAUCAAAUUAAAUUUUAAGGCCAUAAGUUAUUUAUGUAAUCUAAUAUGGCACGCUUCAGGUUUACAUUAAAAAUUUAAUCAGGUGAUUAAAGGAACUCAAAAUAUUUGUCACUAUUUCUUAGACUAAAGUUUGAACCCAAUUUCAAACCAAUAGACCAAUGUUAGAAAGGGUGAGUGAAGGGCAGAAUGGUCUGCAAUUAACAAAAAAGAACAUUGGGCUCAUAUAACAGGCCUCGCAUGUAACAAAAUACGGCUUGUCUACCACCCAGGCCCAACUCGAGCCCAAGUUCUUGAAGAGUGAUCAUCAACAAGUGCUAUUGGCAAAAGUGAGCCCAAUUUUAUUGGCAAAAGUGAAUGUCACAAAAGCAAACUCGACUGGCCUUGAUUUCAUCAAUUGGGCCAAUAUUAGACCCAAGUUCAAAAUUCACCUUUAUGCAUAAUUAGCCACUUGUAAUUCCAUCAAGAAACUACAUUAAACAUGGAAUGGAAUUGACUUUCUACUUUUGAAUCUCAACUAUCCGAGCACAAGAUAACUUACUAAUCAUUAUGAAAUUUCAAUACCAUUUCCAACUUAAAAAUACCCAUGCACAAUUAAUACUAAAGUUAUCAACCUACCGUCUUUCACAUGAAUUUUAGACCACCUACUAAUUGAUAAACUUUAACUCAGAUAAGCAUCUUUCCCAUACUAUCAACACCUUAACACAGAUUACUUUGGCUUCACAAAUCACCCUCAGAUUCUCGAUCGCAUGGAUUUACUCUUUGGCAAAUGAGUAUAGAAAGAGGACAGAGAAAGAUAUGCACUACUGAUGCAGGAAAGCUUUGAAUGUAAUACCAUUAAACAUUCACAUUUACUCAAAAGCUCCUAAAAAUGUCCUAUGUUAAUCUUACCACAAUACUACCCAAUCCAACUUCUGAGAAAUGACUCCAAAACAAACUGAAUCAUAAGAUACCAAACAAAAUCCAAUUAUAAAUUUUAUAAAAUUUCAAAGUUCACAGCAUAGUCUUACUUUACGCAUACUAUAACAGGAAACUUAAUUCAACAGACCAAAUGGAACAAAAUAAAGAGAGAGAGAGAGAGAGAGAGAAAAACCAGCUAAAAGGAAGGCCUUCAUUUCUUCAAAAUCACAUAAACCAUUCUUUACAAAUUUCGAAUCAAAGAUAUGUACCUAAAAAUUGCAAGGGAAAAGGUGAGGAAAAAAGUAGACAACAGCAGAGCAAAAGUACAACAGUAUCAAUGCAACAGUGACCUCGCAACAGCUUGAAACCCAAACUUUAAAACCCAAAAUCAAACCAUCUCCCAACUCAGGUGCAAGAUGUAAAAGUUUCAGAGAUUUUAACUAAUGAAGAAGAUCAGAAACUCCUAGCUAGAACAAAAUUUUGAUCAGUUUCUAUCAAACAAAAUGCUGGAAAUCAGUGCAGUUUCAAAAAUUUUAGCCAUUUUUUUUUUCUCAGAAUUUUUAUCUCUUCAUCUCUAACUUUUUAACUCAAGUAAUGGUGCCUUUUAUAUGCAAGGUAUUAUGUCUAUCUAAGGGAACUCAAAUUUGCACUUAUUCCUUUUUAUAUUUUCAUUUUUGCUCAGAAAACCCUAGUUUAGAUUUCAGAACUUCAAAAUAGUCCCCACCCCAACUUCCUAGAAGCAUCCUCAAUCAGUUUUCAAAGAUUCCCCAACUACAAUCCCCAAAUUACCCCUUAAACAACCUGUUUUUUAUUUCAGAAAACCAAUAGGUCAAGUUGACCCGAUAAUGAAACCAAAAUUGGGCUCAAUUCUGACCCAGUGACCCAAAUCAAACCCCCAUUGAGGUGAGGUCUGCAAUGGCUUCAAAGCCCAAACACAAGAUAGACUAAAUCAAAUCAGUCAACAAUAAAGGGCAAAUACUUUUAAAAAAUUAGAAUUAAGCCUAUACUAAUCAACAUAUUACUACUCAAAAAUGAGCAAGAAAUUAACCAAGUUAUCACAAUAGCCCUAGUUAAAUUGACUAGGUGACUAAUCAGAAUAUUAACCAUGCUAUUUAAUUAAAAGAAACUAAACAAAUCAAGUAGGACCGGUGAACAGAUUUGGAAACAAAAAAACCAGCGAAGACCAAACGGAAAAAUCUCACACUCGGCCAAAACUUUGGUUAAAUUUCAAAUAAGGAAAAACAAAAGAAAGAAGAGGGACAACCGGUAAAAAUGAAAUUAGAAACGGACCCAAAAAUGCAAUGAAACUUGCCGGCUAAAUUUGAAAUGACACUUGAUAUCUUGAUUCACACGAAACUGAUACUAGUCGCUUUUCUCUGUCAAGAAAGAACGAAUGGCAAUAGUUUUGUAGUGAGUCAGCCUUUCAAACGUAAGAGGAGCAAUCAUGGGUCGAUGCAUGCCACCAGAUUCGACCGUAACUGAUUUUGAACUUUUAGGGCUCGACUUCGGAUCUAAGAUUCGAGAGGUUCUAGACAGAUUCGAAGAGCAUUAAGUGCAGAUUUGGAAUGAGAGGGCCUUGGAGGUUGCAUGGUGUUGAUUUGGGGUGGAUUGGGAUUGGUGCCGCCACCGGAGGGGAGGGCGAUUUCAGGGCGGCGCUAGGGUUUGGAGUAUGAGUCGCUAAGAGAGGGGGGUGAGAGAGACGAAGAAGGGGAAG
rnacentral:lncRNA from 1 species